GGGGGUAUAGCUCAAUUGGGAGAGCAGCAGACUGAAGACAUCAUCAGUUGAAUUCUGAAGGUCCCGCGUUCGAUCCGCGGUACCCCCA